AGAACAAUCGAUCUGUGAGUCCUCUCCAGUGGAGAGUACACAGGGAGCAGGAGUUGUAAUCCCAGUUUUUCAUAAUAAAGCCAUGUCAUCUGUCUAUGAGUUUCUCUGUUCUCUAGUGCUGCAGAGCACACCUAUGGCUCAGCCCUAAGUUAGAGAAAGAGAAGUGCAGCAAGGACAAAGACUGAACUUUGGAAGAUGGACUAGAAAAGAGAAUUGGCUGGAUUUAGGUAAAUCUCGAAAUCUUGAGAUUGGAAAGGAUUUCCUCCAAGGUCAGUUUGUCCAUGGCUCCACCUAAUGUCCCCUUAGAGGGGCCUUAAUGCCUUGGAGGUAAACAUUUUACCUCGAGAGGAGAGGAUACCACUGUAUAAUUUAACUCUCCUCAUCAUUGAGCUAAGUGGUUAUCACAAACUAGGCCAAUUUUUUCUCUUAGCAAUUUUUACACAGUGACUCAGAGUAAGACUUCGAAUCAAAGUCUACUCCUCCCUUAAAGUGCAACACUUCAAAAACAACUGAAGACAACUCCUCAGAGCUCCCUGUUGUCUUCUCCAAGUCUUCCAGAAGAACCUCUUUCCAUAUAAGGUAACUCUUCUCCUGAUGAGGGUUGCCUGAUUUCACAGAUAAAAAUAUAGAAUGCCCAGUUGAAUUUGAGUUUCAGAUAAACAAUGAAUACAUUUUUAGUGUUAAGUAUGCUCUGUGUAAUAUUUGGGACAUACUUAUACUAAAAAUAUAUUGCUUAUUUAUCUGAAAUUCCAAUUUUACUGGGCAUUCUGUAUUUUGGCUAGCAACCCUCCCUACUCUGGAUGCAUUUUAGUUUGUAAAUGUUGUUUUUAAAAUAUAAUGCUUAGAACUUAAGAUAAUAUUCUAGUUGAACACAGAAGUGCAGCUCACGUGGGGUGAGAAAGGCAAGUGGGGAAAUGGUGAAAGGAAGAGGACAUCUUCAUCCUCGUCUCCCUCCCUCCCCCUCCCAAUUUAUGUGUGAAGACUGGGAUAAACUCCCUUCCUGUGAGGGGAUAAAGGCCUCUCCUGGGCAUAGCAGGUCAGAGACAGGGCACAAUGUUGGCUCGAUGGGGCACCCUUGGGCACCAUCCUACUUGGCAGCCAUGACCUUAGGUAAAGAACUUACUCCAACAUCCAUAGUGCCUGCAACUAUUUCUAAUGUGUUAGCCCCUCUUUUGCACAAGGGACUGCUGUCUCCAUUCAUUUAAGAGAUACUUUCAGCCCAGAUGAUGGCAUAUUUGCAGAAUACAACACAUAAUGGCUUGUGUCUCUCUUAUCCAUUUACCUUUCUUUCAAUUCCUUUGCUCUUGUGGUUUCCAUCUCCUCCCCGUCCUUCACUGUAUUCCAGGUUUUUCAUGCAUUAAAUUAGAUGAUAAGCCCCUCCAGGGCAAGGGCCCUGUCUGCUCGUAACAUAGGAAAUAGCCUC
rnacentral:lncRNA from 1 species